rnacentral:ncRNA from 1 species
AUCUUAUCGCGAGAGGUUAAGGGACUGGCCCGACGACACCUCAGCAACCAGCCAAGUAUGGCACGGUGCUAAUUCCAUUAGGUAGUUGUUUACCUGAAAGAUGAGAA